CAGGAGAGCGGAGACUAUGUGGUCAGGUCCCCAGGGCGCCGACUUGUACAAGGAGCGCCAGACGAGCCUGCCCCCCCUGUCCACGCCCCCUCCACCAAUGGGGACAGCCUGACACCGCAUCCACAGGGAACCAGAGAAGGCGCAGAUCGCGGGCGCAGUCGGUGCUCUACCCCUACAUCCACGGGCGCACGAGGAAGGGCGGCGGGAGCUCGCAGUCACGACGGUGUCUUCGAGGCCGAGCUCUGCCAGGGCGCUGUCGGGACGCUCCAAGGACGACUCCAGGAUACACUACGAGCUGCCGAUGGAGGAGGCGGAGGAUAGCAGGGCGCACCUUCCCUCCGACCCGUGGCGUGCAAGGAAGGUGCGCUUCUACAGGAACGGAGACAGGUACUUCCCCGGGUUUGAUUACAUCUUCAAGCCAGGUCGAGAUGUUGUGAAUAUGGAGGCCCUCUGCGACAAG